AUUCCGUAUUCCAGACAUUUUCUCAACACCUCCUUGUACCUUUCCCAUAUAUCAUAUAAGGAUUCAGAUUCCAAUUUGCAAAAAGCGGAGAUAUCACUUAUGAGAUU